AUCAUCAUCCGCAUCGACCUUAUUGAUGCCUUUAUUGUUUUAUUGUUGUUUUUGUUAUAUUUUCUGACAGUUCUAUGGAUGAAUCGAAGAUACCUUUGGGUACUCAUUGAAGAAAUCUGCAUGAAUGAUUUGCCUCAGAAGAUUUUGAAAUACUCAACUACCGACCCAGUUUAGCCUCAGGGGAAAAGAUAAGAAAUUUCUUUGGACAUAUUAAUAUUUCACAUUUUCGUAUACCUUCAUUUAGUUGUAAUUUAACAGGUUGUUUUUCUUUUCCAGUAGGGGUAAGAAAUGCCAAUCACAAAUAGGUAGCGCCUAUUAUGCCUCCAAGGAACAGUUUGAGAAAGGAACAAUACUGACUUCAAAUUGAACAAGGUAAAUUAGAAAGAAAUGACAUUUAGACAGACAUAUCUACGAUUUAAAAACACAUAGAAAUACAUGGCAAUACCAAAACAUGUUAAGAACACAGAUCUUACACUAUAACAUCUACAAGGAAGACAAUAGCGCCAGAUCUGUUAGCGUUACGAAACAAAAAGAAAGAAUUGCUGGACAUAAGUCAGCUCCAGCAAACAAAAUCACGUAGCAAAAGUAUUUGUAAGAAGACUGUCACCUCAGUCGAGGAGUUCAUGGAAGAGAGAGUAAGGAAGCCUGUAACAUAGAUCUGUAUCUUGAAAAACAGAGUGAGCCUUAGUGUAACCCAUAGGAGCUGUCAGAAGAAGGUGGCAUAUGAAACGAUUUGGCUUUUAUCAAUCCGUACACAGUAAAGCACAUGGUAACGUGUACUCGACUUUUUACACGACAGUGAUACAAGAAGACAGGCGGAGUUGACAUAUAACAGAAUACUACUGCAAUAUAUAGAGCGACGGAAUACAAAUAGCUAGGAACAUUAGUUGUGACGUUGACUCUUGGCAUGACAAUCCAUUAUAUGUCACGGUAUGAGUAGAUGUUGAAAGUAGAGGUAACUUGAAAUAUUAUGCGGUUAAGUGGUGUCUAUAUGGAUAUGCAACUCCUGAUAAUGCCGCGAAGACCACAUAGCGAUCGAGUUGCAUUACACCAUCGUAGAUACAAAAAAGAAUAAUAUCAGACUGAUGGUACAGAGCUGAAAGUCUAGUUGUUAUACAUGUCACAGCAAGAGUCACUUGCAGUUUUCUGCCCAGGAAAGAUGAAAAAGCAGACGAGAAGGAGAGAGCAGCGGAGAUAAGCAGAAAUAGAAAAAAACUACCAACAGUUCCCAGAAACUUCUGUUUCUAAAGCACCAUUUAAUCUCAUGCCUAAAGAUAGUCGGGAAAAUUAUCUCGAUCUCGGUGCGCAGGGCUAACCAUCAGGAAGCCAACUAACCUCAUCCCUAUAUGACUACAUGAUCUUGUAACGAUGGCGACUGGAUACUGGGAAUGUAUAGCAGGCCAUCGGAGAUAACGGAGAAAUUCAUAAAACACAGGUGGCGGGGACCAUAUUUCCACCUCGAAUUACAUGAUAUUCGUAGUCCUUCAAAUAGCCAACGAGGAAUUGAUGAAACUAUAAAACAAAUUGAAGGAUGGAAACGGAAGGAACAAUGAUCUGACAAGACGAGCUUGGUUAUCAUUUUAAAGAACAUCGAUAAGAGAGAGAGAGAGAGAGAAGGUGAAAAUCGCACCGGUAAUCUAUAAACAGCUAAAAAGAGCACUACUUUGAGGAUAUAAUCCUUGCUCAGUCUCACACCAAAAGUGCUUACGGGCACUUUCAAAAUUACCAGAUGCCAGGAGUAAAAGGUGCUCGGAGCCGUAAUAUGCUUUGAUCUAAUCAAGCUGGCGCCUUCUCACCCGUAUGUGAAUAUACGGCCCAUGUUUGCUUUUAUUUCUAUUCAUUUAGGUAUGUAUAUGCAUUUUAAUUUUUCUUGCACUCUAGGGUUCAUAAGGCCGGCUACACGGUUUUCAUGGCGUAUAAGUGUCCGAGAUCACAGCAUUCUCACUGAACGAGAUACCGGUCAGUUGCAGAGUUCAAGGCCAGCAAUUUUGAGGGGAAGGGGAAAGUCGAUUAUAUCGACUCCUGUACUUGACUGGUACUUUGUUUUAUCAACUUCGAAAGGAUUAAAGACAAAAUUGACAUCGACGAGAUUUGAACUCAGAAUGUAGAGAGCCGGAAAAAAAGUAUUAAUUUUAAUAUGUGAUCGUUAUUGCUAAUUUGUAAGAAAUUAUAAUUAUUGAUGUUGUUAGUGUUAUUAUUUCACGACUGCUUUAUAUGAAUGAGUACCAUUAAUUUACUUGUGUCUAUUGUGUGUCCCUUCUGAAUAAAUCAAUGCUUUGGUGCCAAACUAAGUAACCGUCAUCGUUAUCCUCAUCGUCAUCAUUAUUAUUAUUAUCCCUAUCGUUAUCACCGUUGUCAUCAACAUCAUCAUCAUCAUCAUCUGCAUCAAUAUCAUCAACGUCGUUGUCCUCUUCCUCCUCAUUAUCCUCAUCAUUACCAUCAUCAUAAUCAUCACCACUAUCGUCAUCAUCUUCCCUAUCGCCUUGAUCAUCAUCAUUAUCAUCAUCAUCAUCAUCAUCAUCAUCAUCAUCAUCAUCAUAGUCGUUGUAUAUUUCUUUUACCGCGUCUUCGAAGUUUGCCUUUCCAUAUUCUUGACAAUAGUGUCAAUUAAUUCCCUCAGACGAUUAAAAACUCAUAUGAUAAAACGAAAAAUUUUGUUUUCUUUCAAAUACAUAAAAAAAACGAAAGAAAAAUAAUAUGGUGAGUGAUAUGCGACAGUCUUCUCACUGAACCGUGCAUAUAAGCUAAGCAAAUUUAUGCAUCUCUAGGACUGUAUGUGACAGUAUGUGAUAAUGUAAGAGUUUGCAUCUGUGUGUGUUAAUUUUUCUUUGUCGCUUAAUAAGUAAGUUAGUAGUCAUAGCAACUAAUUUGACAGUUAAUGAUACAGAAAGCAAAUGAUGAAAGAAAGCACAAAAGAAAUAAAUGAAAUUACUCAAUUCUAUAAUUAUGUUGAUGAUGUAAAACGCGUAACCAUGGUGAUACUCUAAACAAUUUGAUAAUUGUGAUGGUAUAGUUGACAAAUUCACAGUUUUGAUGGCAAAGUAAACAAAUGCUACUGUCUUGUCUACGGUAGAUUAUUAUUUUGUGUUUUCCUUUAAAUCUUCGAGAUAAUAUAAAUAUUUCAGCAUUUGCUGACAGAGCAGCAUGAGUAAACAUUGAUCUCUGGUUCAGUCUACUUCGCUGAUAGACGUACUAUCAGUCAAUAUAGCUCCUGACUCUAACUAACCGUAGAGCAGGAUAAAAUAUCUAUUUAUUUUGUGUGAUUAUUUUGCCCAACGUCAAACAUCUUUUAACAUCUUUUAACAUAAAAUAUGAAUUUAUACAAAUUCUUUCUUGUUUAUCUUCGCGUAUUUUGUGACAACUUUGUAUGUGUGUUUAUUGUAUUCGUUAAUGGGCCAAACUGACACUAAUAGAGGAUUAGCACAAUCGUUAGCACGCCGGGCGAAAUGCUAAGGGGUAUUUCGUCUGCUGCUACGUUCUGAGUUCAAAUUCCGCAGAGAUCGACUUUGCCUUUCAUCCUUUCGAGGUUGAUAAAUUAAGUACAAGUCAAACACUGGGGUCGAUGUAAUCGACUAGCCCCAUCCCCCGAAAUUUCAGACCUUGUGCCUACAGUAGAAAUUAUUAUUAUUAUUAUUAUUAUUAUUAUUAUUAUUAUUAUUAUUAUUAUUAUUAUUAUUAUUAUUAUUAUUAUCAUCAUCAUUGAGUGACAGAGAAAUGCAUGCCACCAAAGUGACAGUAGGGUACAAAUAUACGAAGCUCAAUAUACCCAAUGUGACUACCUGUCUGAUAAGGGUACACCGGGCACAUGCAUCACAAACAUAUGUGCACGACAUGGUGAUCUCAUAUCAAGCUAAACAGCACAUGACCUUGCAAGUGGGGCCCAGUUAGAAAUUUCUUCAGGUGGAGUAGCCCAUCCCGCUCAAAAGAUCUCUGAAUAAGGUUUGUUUCCAGAGGUGAAUUAUUCAAACACCCCAAAAUUCCUUUCAAUACAUGACUAUGAUGCCCCCCCACCACUACUUCUGUUCCUGAUCAGAGAUGCGCAUAUCGUCAACCACUAAAGGACAUGCUCAACUGUUUAAGGUCAAACAACUAAUAAGCAAAUCUGUGGUAUUGAGCAGAAUAUUUGCUGUAACCCAUCUUAUAUGAUAAGACAAAACAUGUACAUGAUAACACUUCCAAUCAGUUAAGAUCAGAAGCUAUGAAAGCCAGUACCUGGUACUGCAUUAUUAUUAUUAUUAUUAUUAGUAGUAGUAGUAGUAGUAGUAGUAGUAGUAGUAGUAGUAGUAGUAGUAGUAGUAGUAGUAGUAGUAGUAGUAGCAGCAGCAGCAGCAGCAGCAGCAGUAGUAGAAGUAGUAGUAGUAGUAGUAGCAGUAGCAGUAGUAGUAGUAGUAGUAGUAGUAGUAGUAGUAGUAGUAGUGGUGGUGGUGGUGGUGGUGGUGGUGGUGUCCAUGUUGUUAAUUCAAAUUCCUCCGAGGUCGUUUUGUUUUUGCUUUUAUUCUUCCGGAGUCGAGCCUGCAGUUAAUAUAAUCUAUUCUCCCCACAAAAAUCCCAUCAAAAUUCCAGGCCAUGCGCCUAUUGUAGAAAGGGAUUAUUGUUAUCAUCAUUACUAUUAUUAAGCACAGUCGCAUAAUCGAAAACUGAGUCUUUAUUCCAUUAUCCAAGGAACCUAAGCAUUAUGUUAAUCAAUCUCUGGCAUUCUUUUAACUGGAAUAACUUCGUAAAGAGAAAGAGACAGACAGACAGACAGACAGACAGACAGACAGAAUGGAUGUAUGACAUGAUGUUGGCAGUGAGGAACAAACUGAAAACAAAAUUUUAAUAGCAGGUUAUGAAAACGAGUUUUGAAAUGAGAGGCCAUGCACUUCAAUCUCAGCUUCAACUAACAGAUGGCGGCUGCCAGUUGAUAUAAUAAUUGAAAACUUUGCUCUUUAUGAACAAGACACACAACAUCAACAACAUUUUUUAACAACUUAGUUACAAAUCUGAAGAUGACCAUCACAUACAAAAGGAACUGCGAUAUGAUUAACAUCUAACUAAAUCUUCUACGACUCAGCAACACUAAGUUAUGGGAUUGGCACUUAAACCGCUCUAAAAUAUCGGCAGUAUUUCACAUUCUCUUAUUUACAGUCAAAUGUUUAAAAUGCCGAACAAACAGAGGUACACACACAUAUAUGUAUAAACAUGCACAUACAUACAUACAUACAUACAUACAUACAUACAUACAUACAUACAUACAUACAUACAUACAUACAUACAUACGUACAUACAUACAUACAUACAUACAUGCAUGCAUGCAUACGUACAUACGUACGAACGCAAACACUACACACACGUAUAAGUGGCGCCCACUCAAGUGUCGCGUUUUUGUCAAUGAGACUUGCACGCACACACAAAAAUAUUACAUUGAAAGAUUACUCGUAUAUAUCUAUAUUUAUAUGUAUUUUGUGUCUGUGCUUGCCCCCCACCACUACCACCACUUCACAACGGGUGUUGUUUUUUCAUGUCCCUGUAACUUAGUGGUUCGGAUGUGAGGCACCGAUAGAAUAAGUAUCAGGCUUCCAAAAAUUAAGCCCUGGGGCCGAUUUGUUCGACUAAAAUUCUUCCAGGCGGUGCACCAGCAUGGCUGCAACCUAAAGAUUGGAGCAAGUAAAUCAUAAAGGAUACACACACACACACACAUACAUACGUAAAUGUCGAACGACGCGUAUGAGUUUUCAACACCACAUAGGUGGAUAGAGUUUAUUUGUAUAUUAAGGCUACCAUUGGUUUCAUGUUAUGAAACAUAUCUUAAUAUCUUAACAAUGUUUCAAGCCGAUCACAUGGAAGGAUGGUGUUCGUCUCCAUUAUGGAAAAAAAGCGCAAAUUUUAUGAAUUCACAGGAAGUCUCGUAAAGAAAAUAAUAUAUAUAUAUACACAAAGACACACACAUAUAUGUUUUGUCUUUUAUCUUCAUACACAUAUAUGUGUGUCUGUACGUAUCCCUCACCACCGCUUGAUAAAUAAUUUCGGAUUGCUUUGAAUACAUUGCGUUAACAUGUAUUUUCGGGACGCUAUUGUCGGUAUUUGAACGAUUUUUUUGUGUUGAUACAACAGAAACGAUUGCAGACAUUGUAUGGUGAAUUCAACAAUUAAAGAUGUGAUUUUCUCUAUGCAUGUUUUUACUUGAUAUAUAUAUAUAUAUAUGUAUAUAUAUAUAUGAUAUAUAUAUAUAUAUAUAAUUUUAAUCCAAACGGGAAAACAAAAAAACAACAACAGUGGAACAAUUACAGUAUUAUUAUUAAUAGGCGCUCAUAUAUAUAUAUAUAUAUGUAUAUAUAUAUAUAUAUAUAUAUAUAUAUAUAUAUAUAUAUAUAUAUAUAUAUAUAUAUAUAUGUAUAUAUAUACAUACACACACAUACACACACACAUAUAUAUAUAUAUAUAUAUAUAUAUAUAUAUAUAAUAUAAUAUAAUAUAAUAUAAUAUAAUAUAAUAUAAUAUAAUGUUAAUAUAAUGUUCAUAUAACUCUCUGAAUCAGGAUCAUUCUCAUUUUUGGACGAGUGAAAAACCAAGUCAUCUCCGGGGGUUAUUGGGAUUCAGAAGCAAUAGACAGAAAGAGAGAGAGAGAGAAACAGCCGAAUAAUUACCAUUUUGCUUCCAGCUUUGGCGCCAACCGUCUUUAUAAUGACAAUUUGCAGUACAGUUGCGAAGAUAAGCAGUAGCAGUAGUAGUAGUAGUAGUAGUAGUAGUAGUAGUAGUAGUAGUAGUAGUAGUAGUAGUAGUAGUAGUAGUAGUAGUAGUAGUAGUGGUAGUAGUACUGUCCUGUUUCAGAUGAAGAGAGUAUGUUAUACAUGGGAUAAAAGACUCGAGCAACAACAAAAACAGGCUAUUGACCAGUGUGUAACCAACCUUACAAAUCAGCCAUAGGCUGAUGAGAUAAAUUAAGCAGCCAAUCGAAUAAUAGUAAUAAUAAAUAAAUAAAUAAAUAAAAUCAAAAAUACAAUCUCUUAAAAUUUGAAAUUGCAAGAAUUUGGAAUAUGAAAACUGUCAAAAUUGUGUCUUUGAUAAUUGGUGCAUUGGGAACUAUAAACAAAGAUAUAGAAAAAUGGUUGAAAGAGACUGGAAUAGCUUUGUAGAGCUUUUACAGUGAGUUUGCCGCUUAUAGACACGAAAGAUUAUCAAGAGGGUUUUAAGCACUUAAAGUACUAUUGAAAGAUUGUGGGUACCUAAGGUUACAGGUAUUCAUGGCUACAAAUGGGCUAUUAUUCAACUGACAAUGAAUUUUCAUUUUUACCUAUCAUCAUAGGUGCAUUAGACUAUGUACCUACAUAUUUUCACAAAAACCUACAAAUACUAGAUUUUUCAAAGAAAGAGCAAUAGAAACCGACGCGGAUUCUCAAAAUUAGCGGAACAAUGAAUAUUUAUAAGACAUUCCAAAGAUUCUCUCAUCUGAAAUUCUUCUGCGAAUAAAUGCACGUACUUGGGUAUAUGCAUCGACAGUUCAACCAACACACCAACUCAACCACAUAUUUACAAACGCUCUCUUUUACUCUUUUACUUGUUUCGGUCAUUUGACUGCAGCCAUGCUGGAGCACCGCCUUUAGUCGAGCAAAUCGACCCUAGGACUUAUUCAUUGUAAGCCUAGUUCUAUCGGUCUCUUUUGCCGAACUGCUAAGUUACGGGGACGUGAAGACACCAACAUCGGUUGUCAAGCGAUGUUGGGGGGACAAACACAGACACACAAACAUAUACACACACAUACAUACAUACACACAUACAUACAUACAUACAUACAUACAUACAUACAUACAUACAUACAUACAUACAUACAUACAGACAGACAGACAUAAUACAUACAUACAUAUAUGUAUAUAUAUAUAUAUAUAUAUAUAUACAUAUAUACGACGGGCUUCUUUCAGUUUCCGUAUACCAAAUCCACUCACAAGUUUUUGGUCGGCCCGAGGCUAUUGUAAAAGACACUUGCCCAAGGUGCCAUGUAGUGUGAAUAAACCCGGAACCAUGUGGUUGGUAAGCAAGCUACUUACCACACAGCCACUCCUGCGCCUACUCAAUAAGUUUUGUCACUUUGUUAGCGACUGGCUUGAAUUCUUUUAAGAACUUAAAUAAAACUAAAAGAAAAAAACAUACAUACAUAUAUACAUACAUAUAUAUGUGUGUGUGUGUGUGUGUUUUUGUGUGUGUGUGUUGUUACGUAUAUGACUAUGCAUGAGUAUAUUCCAUACACAUGUAUAGAUAAAAUAAAGUGUGGUGUGAGUGUACGUAUGUGUGUGUGUAUGUGUGUGUGUGCGUGUGUGUGUGUGUGUGCGCGUGUAAAAGUAUAUAUGAACAAAUAUGCAUUUGAUUACACAAAUAAAACAAUGCGUAAUUGAUAAUUUAUAAGAUAUUCAGUUACAUCAUCUUACGUACGCUUCAUUAACAUAAGGUGAUUAUUUGUUACAUAAUGUAAAUUACAUAAUCAAGUCCUAUUGCCCAAUAGUUAGAGAUAUGUGGCUUUUAAGCAUAACGUUAUUGGAUUCAAAAUAUGCUGACAGCAUUCACCAUUGUGGAGGAGAAAUCUGUCAACAUCUUUUCAGUCUAAUAAUGUUUUAAGCCAGUAACAGUUUUCUGAUUAACAUAACAUUGCUGAUAAUUUAGAUAAACACUAUUUUUUUAAUUAAUUUAAUUUAAUACAACUAUGAAUCACAAUCAUAUAAUUAUAAAUUUGGUUGUUUAUCUUAAUGAAAAAGCUUUUGAAUAUAAACUAUAGUAUUAACUAUAUGUGAGAUUAUGUUUAUUAUGCUUUUAUGCUAUCUCCCUCUUCAUCCAUCUCUCUUACUUACUUACUUUCUUUCUUUCCUUCUCUCUCUCUCUCUCUCUCUCUCUCUCUCUCUCUCUCUUUAUAUGUAUUUAUAUAUUUAUGGAUAAAUAGAUAAAUACACCAAUAUGAGGAACAUUAUAUCUCGCAAAAAUCACCAAGUGUUUACCAGUUAUAACUAAAGCUUGCCCUCUUGACAAAGUGAAUAUGAUAAAUUCUGUCACAUAUGAGGCUGAAAUUGCAUCUACAUUCCAAGGCAAAUCAAUUGGAAAGAAGAAUUACAUCGGGCUAUGUGAGGGCAAAUUUAAGAGACGUUGUGCAAACCACCUAUCAUCUUUCUGGCACAUCUAUAAAAGUAAUGCAACUAAAUUGGUUAUGUAUGGAAUUUGAAGAGUAGCUCCACAUCACAUACAAUUAAAUAGAGAACAGUGGAGAAAUCCAAGCCAUAUGUUAAUGAAUCUAAGAAAUGCUAUUUAUGCAUAGCAGAAAGAUUUCAUAUUUUUCUUCGAUCCAGCAAUUCCAACACACUGCUUAAUUCGAGAUCUGAAAUUUUUAGCAGGACAGGUUUCUUUUAACGAAUUGGCGGGUACCACCCGCUCCGAAUUGAGUCUUGUAGACUUAGACAUAUUUUCUGGUAUUGUGUUCUAAACCAGUUGUAUUCAAUGUGCUUUCUGCAAUCAGGGAGGACGAGGAUCGUAAUUUUUUAUUUCGUUUCCUUUUUUCGUUCCAUUUUUGCACCGACUGUCUUCACAUUUUUCAUAUUUUCUUACUGACCAGCGUCCUUGUAUUAUAUAUAUAUAUAUAUAUAAUGCAUGCUUACUUUGUUUAAUGCUGUCCGUCAAUGUUGAUGACGACGUUGUCCUCUAGGAGUUUUAAACAUAGCCUGGAAGAUUGCUUUGAGAUACAUGGCGUAUUUUAUAAAUAUGCCUGUUCAAGUAUCAUAAUAGCAUGAAAUUAUUAGUAGCUUUUCCAAUUGCGUAUCCAAUUUAAUAUGUGUGUGUGUGUGUGUGUGUGUGUGUGUGUGUGUGUGUGUGUGUGUGUGUACACAAAGAUCCUAGAUUAUUCAAUACAAAUUAUAUUACAAUAUGUAAAUAUAUGAAUUGUAAAAAUAAACGCAUUUUCCCCUAUUGUAAGUAUAUUUUCAAUUAAUUUAAUUACGAUAUAUACGUUUACCGUAGCUAUCGACUUUUACAUAUGCAUAUCUAGUGACCAUGCUUUAUAUACAUUCAUAUAUUCUUUCAUACAUACAUAUAUAUAUAGAUACAUACAUUUAUAUAUACACGUGUACGCACCCAUGCACACACGUAUCCAACUGUGCUGCUUCACACGUAAAUGUAUGUAUACAUGUAAGUUUAUAUCUGUCUCUAUAGUUAAGUGAAAGAUCGAUGUGAUGCAUCUAUCCACAUAUUAACAUAUAAAUCAAUGUUGGCUUAGUUUUUUAAUAUGCAUUUCUCUGCGUGUCUGUUUGCCUGUCAGUCAGUAGAGUUGACUACACGUCUGUCCAUUUGCAUCAGUCAACUACGCAAAUGCAUAUUUACUCUGAAGAACAACAUGAAAAAGCUAAUGGAAAAAUCAGAUAUGCAACAAAAGGAGAAAUAUUAGUUACUAACAAAUAUUAGGUUUCCAUCGGCAAGUGCGGCAGAUAACUCUGAAUAUAUUCCACUUUUAUUUGAAUUUCUUCAGAGCUAAUGCAAACUCAGUUAAAGUUGCCGAAGUAAUUGUGAUCAAACUGUCAAGUUUAUUUGAUGUUGUAGAAUAAAGAAAUAGUGAAAUGUCAAUUAAACUCAUGUGCGACUUCCUAUCAACAUUUCUGAUCUUUGUUUUAACAUUUUAUGCAUGUCUUUCUUUCGUUCUCUGUUUUUUUUUCUAUUCGUGUAUGCGAGGACAUUUAAGCAUAUCUAUCGUUCUUGCCGUCUGUCUCUCCAUGUUUAUCUAAGCAUCUCUAAAAUCAAAGACAACUCUGUUAUCUUCUGUGUAAUUUUUUUAUACUCCAUCUAAGAACAGAAUAAUAUUCCCAGUGGUUGUGUAAAUUAGUUACAGUAGAACAGUGAUGCGGCGAGAGAAUGAAAGGAAAAAGAAUUGCUUUGUGAUAGAAAUAUUUUUCCUUAACAAAAUUUCACUUCUGUAUGGCCAAAGAAAUAUCACUUCUUUGAACUCAAGUAGCAUUUAUGUAUAUUUGGCAUCAAGUUGUGUCACUGCUUGGCUGGAUUUAGAAUGUAUAAUCAAUAUAAAGAUAGAUAGAUAGAUAGAUAGAUAGAUAGAUAGAUAGAUAGAUAGAUAGAUAGAUAGAUAGAUAGAUAGAUAGAUAGAUAGAUAGAUAGAUAGAAAGAUAGAUAGGUAGGUAGGUAGGUAGGUAGGUAGGUAGGUAGGUAGGUAGGUAGGUAGGUAGGUAGGUGGAUAGAUAGAUAGAUAGAUUUAUAUAUAUAUAUAUAUAUAUAUAUAUAUAUAUAUAUAUAUGUAUGUAUGUAUGUAUGUAUGUAUGUAUGUAUGUAUGUAUGUUUAAUUCAAAAUUUUGAGUCAACUGGCUAUAUCAAAUAUAUUGAACAAGAGAGAUUACUAGUUACUCAUAUUAUGACCUAAAAAAAAUAAACUAUAACACCGGUUUAACAUUUUUUCCGCAUCUCCUAAAUAAGUACAAUAUAGUCUUUUUGAUAUACCUAAUACUUUUUUCUCUUAGAACACCGGAAAGUAUAUCUUAACCCAUUUAAAUCCUAAAUAAUACCAAUAUUGUAUUCCUCUGUGUUACUUACAAAAAACAUUAUUGUAGUAUAAUAUAAACAAACUUUUCAUCACUUCUUCCUUUACAUUUCUCAAUCUAAUUCUUUGUAUCUUAUACCCCUAAUGAUAAGUUACAUUCGUCUUUAUCCCAUUUUCCUCCCAGAAACUUUUAUAAAUAUAUUUUUCAAAUGUAUUGUGGUGUUUUAGCAACAUUUCAACGAUCAAUAUUAGAUAAAUUUCAACGAUCAAUAUCUAAUCCCAUGAACUCCACAACCUAAUAAGUUGUUUACAUUUGAAAAUUUCGAAACACAGUCCUCAAAUUAUUCAUUUCGUAAUUCAAGACCAGAAAAUUUACUUACUUUCCCCUGAAGAUACCCAACAAUAUAUGUUUUUUUUUACAUCUAUAAUCGUUUGAAUGUUGAUAAUUGAAACAUGUGCAGGAUUUUCUUUUCGGAUACUUUUGGGUUGCUUUGUUGAUCCGGUUUCUUUUAUCCUUAUUCUUAUAUGUAUCACUUUUACUUUGCGGGCUCAGUGGUUAGAGCGUCGAGCUUACGAUCGUGAGGUUGUGAGCUCGAAUCCCGGACCGGGCUGCGUGUUGUGUUCUUGAGCAAAGCACUUUAUUUCACGUUGCUCCAGUUCACUCAGCUGUAGAAAUGAGUUGCGACGUCACUGGUGCCAAGCUGUGUCGACCUUUGUCUUUCCCUUGGAUAACACUGGUGGCGUGGAGAGGGGAGGCUGGUAUGCAUGGGCGACUGCUGGUCUUCCAUAAACAACCUUGCCCGGACUUGUAUCUAGGAGGGUAACUUUCUAGGUGCAAUCCCAUGGUCAUUCAUGACCGAAGGGGAUCUUUACCCCCUUUUUACUUUUCCAUUGUGAUACAAAUAAAAUAAUCAAGUAUCUAUUAUACUUUUUCUUCUCCAUUUCCUUUUAUUUAUAUAUAUAUAUAUGUAACUCCAAGAAAGUUAGAGGUUGUGAAUCCAACCCACUAAAGGAUAAUAUCUAUCCAAUAUACUGCUGGUAGAAUACCCGAUUAUUAAUACACAAGUGUUUUUUAUUGCAUUGUAAUUACAUUACCUUGUGUACUAAAUGGGUGAAGGUAAAGAGAUAUUUUACCAUUAAUUUAUAUAGCAAUAAGAAAAUGGAGGGGAUCAAUAGGUGGUUCAUCAAUUUUAGACAUUAUAUUAUGUUAACUUAUUUACUAAACUGAUAAUUACAAUAACACACAUACAUAUAACAUAUUAUGCUUUACACACACACACACACACGUGUAUAUAUAUAUAUAUAUAUAUAUAUACGAAUAUGAACAAGAAGGGUAGUAAUAUUAUUUACUACCAGGUGCCCAGCACAAAAGACGAAUUAGUCAUAAGACAAAAAUAUUAUUCAUGUAGUUAUACAAUUAAGGGCUCCUAAAUUAAGAUGCCGAGUGCUGGGAACACAAAAAGGGGAUGAUAUAUAUAUAUAUAUAUAUAUAUAUAUAUAUAUAUAUAUAUAUAUAUAUAUAUACGUAGCUGUGUUGUAAGAAGCUUGCUUCCCAACCACAUGGUUCCGGAUUCAGUCCCACUGCGUGGCAGCGUAGGCAUGAGUCUUCUACUAUAGCCCUGGACCGACCGUAGCCUUGUAAAUGGAUGUGGCAGACGGAAACUGAAAGAAGCCCUUCGUAUAUAUAUAUAUAUAUAUGUGCGUGAAUGUGUGUGUGCAUGCUUAUCUAUGUGUAUAUAUUCAUACAUACAUACAUACACACACAUAUAUAUUUAUAUAUCAUAAUAGCUUGUACAAAAUAUUGCUUGCACAAGCCACCGAGACAAUGAAACAAUUAUAUGAUAUUCUGACAUUUUUUAAUGAACUUAUUAUAUAGCGCAGCAGGUUAAAUCCAAGUAAAGCUGAAAUUUAAUUAUCACGAGGAAAUCCACCCAAACUAUAUGACGGAACAUAUAAGUAAUUUGGUAACUACUACUACGACACUAGUUGCCUAUAAUGACCUAAAUCUUAAGACUAAGAUGCUUUGGUAUCCAUGCUUCUGCGAGACCAAGAAGCAUUGCUAUCUCAAGCCUUUACAUAUAAUUCAAAUCAUAGGAAGCGAUACAUUAAUUGUAUAAAAACAUAAUUCGUUCGUUAUAAUCGCUAAAAUAUAAAAUUACAAGCAAUCUAUAAUUUCGAAGAUUCUCUGAGGAAGCAAUAUCUUCUAUUGGUGAGUAAAGGCAAGAAAAACGUGCAAGACGAGUAUCAUUAUAAUACAAGACAUUUGAAUGGGAUAGGACACAUAUACAUCUUAUUCUGUACAGAAUAAGAUACGUACACACUUUCUACAUGGUAUAGGAGAAAUGCACAACAUUUCUAAUGUACAAGACACAUAUGCAAUGUCUUUGCAAUAUAGGACACAUACCAACUAUUUAUAUUGUAUAGAAUACAUACGCACUAUCUUUAUGGUAUAGGACACAUAUGCACCAUCACUAUGGUGUAGGACAAAUAUAUGCUACUUUUAUGUAUAGGACAAAUAUACACUAUGUGUAUAGUAUAGGACAAAUAUACUCUAUAUAUAUAUAUAUAUAUAUAUAUAUAUAUAUAUAUACGUGUGCAGACAGGAUGUGGAAUAGCCAAGAAGCCGAACAGACACAAUGCCGAACGGACAUAAAGCCGAAUGGACACAAAAAAAAAAAAUCCUACCUACAUAAUUUAAUAAUCAAUUUACCAAUUUGGAAUAUAUAUUCACCAAUUUGGCAAUUUUAUUAUAUAUUUUAAUUUUCGGCAUCUUGUCUGUUUGGCUUUAUGUCCGUUCGGCACUGUGUCCGUCCGGUAUUGUGUCCGUUCGGCUUUAUGUCUGUUCAGGAUUGUGUCCGUUCGGCUUCUUGACUUCGGCUUCUUGUCCUUCGGCAAAAGUGCAUUCAGCACCCCGUCCGUGUACCUAUAUAUAUGGUAUAGUACGCAUAUACACUAAGUAUAUGUUAUAGUACACAUAUACACUAUCUGCCUACUAUGGAACAAAUACACACGAUCUGUACAGAACUGACUUUUGUCUGCCUGCACAGAACAACGGAGUAUAGAUUCGUUUGUAUCGAGUCUACUUCGGAGUUGUUACAGAUACAACUGAUUCAACGGAGCCUCUAUGCGAGCAUUUGUUUAUUUUGCUGAUUUCGCAAUGCUCCCUCAAAUUUUCAGUCAUCAGUAAGAGUAAAACUCUUAUGUUGCACAUUAGUGUUCUUUUGACAAAGCUAUGAGCACACUAUAAGCACAUAGAAGGUAACUAAUUCUCCGCACGCACAGUUUAGCAAGUACAGUAUCAAUAGGAGAACACGGACUACUAAAUAAACACUUGUUAAUUUACACUGAUACAGGUCUUUACAACGGUGAACUGAACAUUGUGUAAAUUAGUUACAUAAUGAGGUCUGAGUAUGUGGGAGAUAUAUACCUUGAUGACAUACAUACAUAUAUAUGUAUAUAUACAUACGUAUAUACGUACAUAUAUAUAUAUAUAUAUAUAUAUAUAUAUAUAUAUGUAUGUAUAUAUAAAUAUAUGUAUACAUAUAUAUAUAUAUCACCAUGAUCACCAUGACCGACCAGGCUAUCAGAUGUUGCUACACAUCGCUGGUCACAAUGCGCUUCGCAUUGUUUUAGCCUUCAAAUUACGCCACCUCACUGGCUAAGCGAGCAGGCCUACAGGAGAAAGAGUGAGAGAAAGUUGUGGCGAAAGAGUACAGCAGGGUUCGCCACCACCCCCUACCGGAGCCACGUGGAGCUUUAGGUCUUUUCGCUCAAUAAACACUCAAAACGCCCGGUUUGGGAAUCGAAACCGCGAUCCCCUGACCGCGAGUCCGCUGCCCUAACCACUGGGCCAUUGCGCCUCCACACACACACACACACACACACAUAUAUAUAUAUGUGUGUGUGUGUGUGUGUGUGUGUAUAUAUAUAUAUAUAUAUAUAUAUAUAUAUAUAUAUAUAUAUAUAUAUGUAUAUAUAUGUAUAUAUAUAAGCAUAUGGCCCAGUGGUUAGGGCAGCGGACACGCGGUCGUAAGAUCGCGGUUUCGAUUCCCAGACCGGGCGAUGUGAGUGUUUAUUGAGCGAAAUACUUAAAGCCCCACGAGGUUCCGGUAGGGGGUGGUGGGCAUCACUACUGUAGUCUUUCGCCACAACUUUCUCUCACUCUUUCUUCUGUUGGCCUGCUCACUUAGCUAGCGGGGUGGCGUCAUUUGAAGGCUAAAACAAUGCGAAGCACAUUGUGACCAGCGAUGUGUAGCAGCAUCUGAUAGCCUGGUCGGUCACCGUGAUCACGGUGAUAUAAGCAUAUAUAUAUAUAAGCAUAUAUAUAUAUAUAUAUAUAUAUAUAUACACAUAAGUAUAUAUAUGUGUAUAUAUAUAUAUAUGUAAAUAUAUAUAUAUAUAUAUAAACAAUUCAAGGUAUUUUUUGAUGUGCUGGCCAUUGAUAAGAUUUUUUUGAAUUGUUUAUAUAUAUAUGUAUUAUAUAUAUAUAUAUAUAUAUAUAUAUAUAUAUAUAUAUAUAUAUAUAUUUACAUAUAUAAAUAUAUAUAUAUAUAUAUGUACACAUAUAUAAAUAUAUAUAUAUAUAUAUAUAUAUAUAUAUAUAUAUAUAUACAUAUAUGAUUAUAUAUACAUAUAUAUAUGCUUAUAUCACCGUGAUCACUGUGACCGACCAGGCUAUCAGAUGUUGCUACGCAUCGCUGGUAUAUAUAUAUAUAUAUAUAUAUGUAUGUAUGUAUGUAUGUAUGUAUGUAUGUAUGUAUGUAUGUAUGUAUGUAUGUAUGUAUGUAUGUAAGUAUGUAUGUAUACGAACAACGCAAUGUUGCGGUACAUGCAAAGUAUUAAAAGACGCUCAGGGGAGGAAGGAAAAGGUAUUUUACGUUUGAAACAAAACUCUUCUUCAGAAAUAGGAGACAGAGGAAGGUCAAAGAAGAAAGGAGGACGGAAGAAAAAAUCGUCGACAUGUAGUUACAUAUACAUAUGUUUGUAUAUAUAUAUAUGUAUAUACAUAAAUGUAUAUAUAUAAUUUAUAUGGGUGUGUGUGUAUGUGUGUGUGCGUGUGUGUGUGCAAAAUAUAGGGUAGUGAGUUCUUUUAGAAAUUUCCCUUCCAGUGGCCCAGCAUGUAUAAAAAGUCAAUAGACAACAUGUUCUCAAUAUAAAAUAGUGUACAUUUAAACACAAGAGAAAACUGCCUUGAACAGGCAUUUUUUACACGCUGGAAGAAGUAUCCAAUACGACCAAAACUGCUGACUGAAACUGCGCUUGCGCUGUAAAUUUGAAAAAUUAUAAUGUAUAACGAUAAGCCACGUGUUAUUUGUCUCUUAAUUAUAUGUUAGUGUUAUGUUGCGGUCACUGAUGAGAAAUUUGCCUAGCAAAUUAUUUUAUUUGCUAAAAAAUUUUGAAAUCUAUUUUUCAUUCUUUUUGAAGAUUUCUCUUAAAUGUGGUUUUGGUCGUUUUGACUACUUCUUCUAGCGUAUAAAAAAUGCCUAUUGAAGGCAGUUUUCUCUUGUGUUUAAAUUUACACCUCUCUCUCUCUCUCUCUAUAUAUAUAUAUAUAUAUAUAUAUAUAUAUAUAUAUAUAUAUAUAUAUAUAUAUAUACGUAUAUAUAUACAAUUUAUAUAUGUAUAUGUACAUAUAUAUAGGUAUAUAUAUGGAUAUAUAUAUAUGUGUGUGUUUUAUACAUGUAUGUAACUUUGUGUAUAUAUAUUAUAUAUAUUAUAUUUAUUACAUAUAUAUAUAUAUAUUAUAUUAUAUAUAUUAUGUAUAUUAUAUAUAUAUAUAUUCUUCCCAAAGAAGAUCGUCUUAUUGCAACAGCUCAGCUACUGGGUAGGGCUGGAACAGCUAAGACUCUACUCCCUGCAGCGUAGGCGGGAGGGGUAUGCAGUAAUAUACAUCUGGAAGAUCCUGGAAGAUUGUGCCAAAUUUUGGCAUUGAAAGCUACACCAAUGCUAGUACGGGUAGACACUGCUAAGUGCCAAAGUGUAAUAGUUUUUACAUUUUCAUUUUACUCCGACUGGCUUGGGAAACACUGGUUUAUGCUCUUAACAAUACAGUGCUUGUACAAAAAGGUCACUACAAUAUCUAGGUAUUAGUUAUAUUAUAUAUUCUUUAUCAAUACAGUUAUAGGGAGGAGACAGCAAUGAAGAAUACGGGAUCUUUCUGCUGGAUCACUGAAGACUGUGUCUUCGUUUCCACUUCUGCUCCAUUCUGCAAUUCACUAAAUGACAAAAAGACUCUUAAAGAGUGGUGUCGGCCGUUUAAAGUAGAGAUACAAUAUGAGGUGACAUACUUCAACUGUGAAUCGAAGCCAUAUUGCAAUCAUACCAUUCUACAAUGAAUGGACACUAGAGAGAGAGAGUGAGGAUAGUGUCAGAGAGAGAGAGAGAGAGAGAGGAUAGUGAGAGAGGCAGAGGGAGAGAGUAUAUUUUAUUUGAAUUCUGCUUUCGCAACGCAACUCCUUACACAGUGCAGGUGUUUAAUUCUCAUGCGAAACUUCAUUCAGUGGCGUACGGGAUUUAACCAUACUUCUUGGAAAAUAAUAGUCGUGGAGCAGGUUUUACAAUAUCAUGUAAUAUUAGACUAAAUGAAUGUGGGGCACUGAACCCAUUUGUACCCAGAGGUCGGAUCUCUUUGUAAUCGAUUAAAGUCAAUAUUUACAUACGUAUCGUUUUCUUUUAUUACAACUAACUAAAUGCUUCUACGUAUGGAUAUUGUUUAGAUUCAUCUGUACGCAUGCGUGAAUGAGAUUGCGUAGAUUUAUACGUAAGUCGCUAUGUUGAAGUAUGUGGGCGUAUACACAUUAUCAUUAACUUUAUGAAGCUCUUUUCAUUAAAUAUGCUAGAACUGAAUGAAGGCAAUUACAGUAUGUGAGUAUAUGAAUGGAUGAGGUGUUGAUGUGUAAAUACAGGGCGACUGAAUUCUCCAUCUGCCAAAAUUGAAGGCAUUGUGUGGCUGCAUUAGAAAACACUGUUUGUUAUUUAUUUAUUUUGUCUUUACAAAGCAGAAAAGUUUAGGAAAAAAGUUCAUGUGUGCGUGUGUGUGUGUGAGUGAGUGUGCGUGUUUGAAAAAAUUUCAUAUAUAUAUAUAUACCUAUAUCCAUUUAGCUCUCUCUCUCUUUUUCUCUUUCCCCCUCUCUCUCUAUAUAUAUAUAUGUGUGUGUGUGUGUGUGUGUGUGUGUGUGUGUGUGUGUGUGUGUGUGUGUGUGCGUGCGUGUGAGUGUGUGUGUGUGCGUGCGUAUGAGAAUUUCUUUUAUCAUUUCUUAAUUUCCAAUGUAUUGAAUAUAUAUAUAUAUGUGUGUGUGUGUGUGUGUGUGUGUGUGUGUGUGUGUGUGUGUGUGUGUGUGUGUGUGUGUCUGUGUGUCUGUGUGUGUGUGUGUGUGUGUCUGUGUGUCUGUGUGUGUGUAUGUGUGUCGUGAGUAAUUAUGUAUGUAUAUGUACGUAUGCAUAUAUAUAUGCAUACAUAAGCACAUGCGUACGUUAAUGCAAACACACACACAUACAUACGCACACACAUACAUACACACAUACAUGUAAGACGAUCAUUGUAAGUCUACAAAUAUAUAUAUAUAUUCCUUGUGGGCGUGCAGACUUAAAAAAACACAUAUUUCAUUAGCUCUACUGUGCACACGUAGUUAUUAUGCAUAACCAUAAACGAACAGGUUUUAUUAAAACAAAAAAUGACCUCACUUAUAAAUGAUUGAUAAUUUAUUAUUUGUCACAUUGGUUUUGAAACUCACAUACACCAACAAAAACACGCACAAGCAUGCGGCUAUCAACAAAACCUACGCAAUCGUACGCCCACUGACAGAAAAUACGCACACUAAAAGGAAGGCCUCAUAAUGACGUUACAGCUAACCUAGAAACAACAGCAAAAACGUCAAAUUAGCACCAUACUAUAGACGCGGAAGGACACGUGGAAUCAUUAUUUUAGGUGUACCAUGUUUGAAGCAAAACUACAUGCAAUGGUUAGAAAGAGUCAGAGCUAACCUGGACCUAAAUAGAUCAACACACCCAGUGUCCAUAUGGUUCUGUGUUACUCUGCCCUUGUAACUAAUUCGUCUACAAUCUACCUAUCUAUCUAUCUAUCUAUCUAUCUAUCUAUCUAUCUAUCUAUCUAUCUAUCUAUCUAUCUAUCUAUCUAUCUAUCUAUCUAUCUAUCUAUCUACCUACCUACCUACCUACCUACCUACCUACCUACCUACCUACCUACCUAUCUAUCUAUCUAUCUAAUCUAUCUGUCUACAAACCUAAAUAUUAGCUAGCUAACUAGCUUGUAAGAGCUUUGUUUCUCUCUUUUUUCCUCUCUCAUUCUCAAGCUCUCUCUCUCUCUCUCUCUCUCUCUCUCUCUCUACAUAUUUACAUAUAUAGUUAUAUGCAUAUGGAUACACACACACACACACACACACAUAUAUAACUAGCUAGCUACCUAGUUAGCUAGACAGAGAGAUACACACACAUAUAUAUACAUAUAUAUAUAUAUACAUACAUAUAUAUAUAUAUAUAUAUAUAUAUAUAUAUAUAUAUAUGUAUGUAUAUAUAGAUGGAUGUAUAUAUAUAUAUAUAUAUAGAUGGAUGUAUAUAUAUAUAUAUAUACAUAUACAUACAUUGUACAUGUGUGUGAAUGUGUGUGUGUAUUUAUUUAUUUAUCAUUCUUUAACAAGAAUAGCACUGACAGCUUUCAUCGGUCUGUCAUGCAUUUCAAUUAAUAUUGGCUUUAUAUAGUCCCUGUUGAGGAAAAAUCUUUCUAGAGUAUGUGGGAUUCAGUUUAAUGAAAGUUAGAAUGUAGGGUGGGUUGUAAUGGAGAGGCGUUAUUUACUAAAUUUGGGGUUAUGUUAUUGUUCAGCAUUUAUCAAUGCAUGUACAACCAUGUAAAUACGGGUGUAUAUUUAGGUGUAUCAGACUUAGGUCAUGAGAGUGUUAAUUAAUGGUCCUCAAAAAACAUGCAGGUAGGUAGAGGGAGGUUUUAGGCCCUUGGAUGUGUCACUAGUUUCAGUCACUUUCGGUUUUAUUAGAUUUAAUCCUUUACUUUGACAAUGUAAAGGUCAAAGUUUAUUCCCGCAUUUUAAAACUUAGUAAUUGGGUGUAUCAGCUUGUUAAAGAAUAAUGAAUAUGAACUCUACAAAUGUAUAGAAUAACCCUUCCGAUUAAUGUAAAAUUGUUUUUAUGAUAACUGAACAUAAAAACAAACACACACAUACACAUACUCUCAUAUAUAUAUAUACACAGGGUGGCCCAAAAGUAGGUUUACAGUUAUUCAAGUAUCGCUUUCGUAUUCAUAUAUUAACAGUUUAAAUUUUGAUUAUAAAAAAAAAAUGAAACCAUUAUUCUAUGCUAAUUUAGUCAAUUUUGUCAAGCUCCCUUUUCAGUUUGUAAGAUAGAAAUUUAAAUGUAAUAAAAUGUUUUAAAAGAAAGUUAAAGCGCCUACGGGUUAACUGUAAACCUACUUUUUUGGCCACCCUGUAUAUAUAUAUAUAUAUAUAUAUAUAUAUAUAUAUAAUGUAUGCGUGUGUAUGUGUGUGUGCGUGCGUGCGUGCGUGUGGAUGUGUGUGUGGAUGUGUUUCUUUUUCUCUGACUUACUCUUUCUCAAUAUGUAAACUCGGUUUUUCCUUACUCACUAACAAUAAGGUCACAAUUUCAUAGUUACCUUACACUCAUUCACGUAAAAGUCAAUCAGCGCUCCAUUCCACCUCACCACCACCACCACCAUCACAAUCAUCAGCACCACUGAAUAUCCAUAAAAAUAUAAUAUUUUCUUUAAGACCUCAUGCAUAACAAGCGUAACAAAACUCACUGAAAGGUGUGAGUCUUUUUUUUAAUGAAUCGUGUUUUAAAUAAAACACUGCAUCAUACACACAUACACUCACAAACACACACAUACGCUCACACACGCACAUACACUCACACAAACACACACAUGAUUAUAUAACUAUAUUUCUCACAUGUAAUAUACGGUUGUAUUUUCUGGGUAAUUUAUAUUUAUUUAUCAUUUAAUAGUGACGUUCCAGAUGAUUAUUAUCAUGGCUGACAUCUUAGGUAAUAAAAGCUGCACACGUAUUAUGUACACACAGUCAUACAUAUUCAUUCACAGGCGUAGGUGUGUGGUGGAAGUUUGUGUUCCAACCACUUGCUUCCGGGUUCAGUCCCACUACGUGGCAAUUUAAACAAGAGACUUCGGAUCUUUUCGGUUUGAACGGCAGUUUUUAACAUAAUUUCUAGGUAACUAAAAAAUUUUAAACUUCGUAUACUGGUAGAAUGUGUUUAUUAAACAUCUUUUUCUCUCGGCUUUAUUGAGAAGAUUCUAUAGUUUGUAAGAUAUUUGUUGUUGUUUUUUCUUCAAUUUCUGCAAUUUCAACCAAUCACUGACGUCUGUUGAGGUAAAAACCAUUCUGUGCCGUAUGAAUAUGUCCUUCGUUUAAGAAACAGAUUGGGUUUAUUUACAUUUGUGAAGAAAAAGAGAUACCCUUCCCUAAAUAAAAUUGAAAUGACUACGGUCAUAAUUAUGGGUGAUAAUUUCAUAUGACACCGCUAGAAAAAACUGCCGUUCAAACCGAAAAGAUCCGAGACUUCUGCUGUAGCAUCAGGUCGAUCAAUGCUGUGUGUGAGUUUGUCUCCCAUCACUGCUCGACAACCGGUGUUAAUGUGUUUACGUCUCCGUAGCUUAGUGGUUCGGCAAAAGCAAUCGACAGAAUAAGUUCCGGUCUUAGAAAAAAAAUGUAAUGGGAUUGAUUUGUUCGACUGGAAUUCUUUAACCCGAUGCCCCAGCAUGGCCGCCGCAGUCUAAUGACUGAAACAAGUAAAAUCAAAAACAAAAAAAACAAAAAAAUAUGUGAUCACAAAUACACACACUCACAUACGCACACGCACACACACAAACACACACACACAUACAUACGCACUGACGCAUUGAAUUACGAUAGACAUCCUCACUUUCACUCCAUUCAUUCAUAUUACACGCAUAUCAAAACGCGUUGAUUCAGUGUUAGCGUAUGUAAAGCGUGAGCAUCAAAAGCUAACUAAACAAAGUACGCCCACACGCGCCGCAAUACAAAGAACGUACUCCUACAGACGGACAACUGCGCAUGCGCACACGACUUGUAUCUAAAGCGAAUAAUAUCCAGUCUCACAUCGAUAAAUAUGAUUGUGAUAAAAAGAGUGAUAAGCAUGCGAUUGUAUGCGUGUGUAUUUAUAUGUAUGCAUGUAUGUAUGUAUGUAAUGUAUGUAUGUAUGUAUGUAUGUAUGUAUGUAUGUAAUGUAUGUAUGUAUGUAUGUAUGUAUGUAUGUAUGUAUGUGUGUGUGUGUAUGUGUGUGUGUGUGUGUGCGCGCGCGUGGGUGUGUGUUUACAUAGACACACAUUUCUAACUCUGCACUUACAUAUGCGUUUGUACAUCUGCCAUUGCUUAUGUGUGUGUGAGUGUGUGUGUGUGUGUGUGUGUGUGUGUGUGUGUGCGCGCGUGUGUGUAUAUAUAUAUAUCAUAAAUAUAAUAUAUACACACACACAUUUAUAUAUAUAUAUAUAUAUAUAUAUAUAUAUAUAUAUACACUCAAACAUAUAUAUAUAUAUAUAUAUAUAUAGAGAGAGAGAGAGAGAGAGAGAGAGAGAGAUUGAGAGAGUUUGAAAGAGAGUUUGAAAGAGAGUUUGAAAGAGAGUUUGAGAGAGAGGGGAGAAAAGGGAGAGAGAGACAUGUGUAUAUGUUAAGGAGAUGUUCAAGCGUAUACAGGUAACCACAUACAAAUAUAUGUGCAUAUAUACACACAUACGCAUAUGGAUAUUUAUAUACCCAUACAUGCAUGUACAUACGUGCAUAUAUGUAUGUACAUAUGUAUAUAUAUAUAUGUAUAUAUAUAUGUGUGUGUAUAUAUAUGUGUGUGUGUGUGUGUGUGUGUGUGCAUAUAUAUAUGUGUGUAUGUAUAUAUGUAUACCCGUAAACAUGUAAACACAUAUAUGAACAUACAUAUGUAUAUACAUUAACAUACAUACUUGCAAAACUACUCCCACACACAUUUGCGUGCACAUAUAUACAUGGAUACAUUUACAUACAUAUGUUAUGGUGAAAAAAUGAUAUGUAUGCGCAUACUCGACAAAAGGCCAGUGAUAACAACGUGACGCUUCGAUAUCAAAACAUUAUACAAUUUGUAUGUGUGUAUGUGUGUGAAUGCGAGAGAGGGAGAGAGUGUCUGUCUAUGUGCGUGUGUGUCUGUAUAUGCAUAUACGCCCACAGUCCUCAUAAUUCUUACAAAUAAGCUUCUCCUCAGAAUGUGAUAUACCUUAGAACCAAAACAAAUACGCAGUGAAAGAACUCAAAUAAAUACGCAGUGGAAGAACUGAAAUAAAUAAAUAAAUAAAUAAAAUCAACAAGAGGAAUAUUUUAAAAAUUCUAAAAAAAACUAAUAAACAGUUACGAUACCUUAUCUCGAUGUUUGCCACAACUAAUUAAUAUUAUUAAAUUAAAUCCUAACUCGUAUAUACCAGUGUGGCUAAAUCGCCGUUAUAUGCUUUGCUUCUUUAUUCAAUAAAGUCAUACGUUUUAGUUGAUGUAUGUCUGUAAUGAUGUAUGUGUACAAGCAGUAGAGGUGGAAUGGCCCAGUGGUUAAGACAGCGGACUCGCGGUCGGAGGAUCGCGGUUUCGAUUCCUAGACCGGGCGUUCUGUGUGUUUAUUAAGCGAAAACACCUAAAGCUCCACAAGGCUGCGGCAGUGGGUGGUGACAAACCCUGCUGUACCCUUUCACUACAGCUUUCUCUUACUCUUUCUUACUGUUUCUGUUGUACCUGUAUUUCAAAGGGCUAGUUUUGUCACACUCUGUGUCACGUUGAAUCUCUCCCGAGAACUACGUUGAGGGUGCGCGUGUCUGGAUUUCACGAGCAGGCUGUUCCGUUGAUCAGAUCAACUGGAACCUUCGUCGUCGUCGUAACCGACGGAGUUCCACGACGAUAUGUAUCAAGAACCUAUAAAAUAACUGUUUGUAAUUAAAGAUUCAUAAUUUUGGAUCUUACAAUAUUCUUUGAAUAAAGGUUUAAGUGUGUGGUUGAGAAGUUCAAAUCACAAACAUGUAGUUUUAGUUUCAUUGCUGUGGUACGGUACGUUAAACAAAUGUCUAUUCCAAUAAUCUUGGCUGAUCGAAGCCUUGUGAUGAAUUGGGUAAAGGAAAACUGUGCAAGGCAUCAGAUAUGUUGGAAGAUACUAUUUGAGUUGUUUUUCACGACAUGAAACUAUUGGUAGCUCAUAAAAAUACAUACUGUGUUUAUUAGAUAAUAUUUAUCUCUCACCAGAUGGAGUACUCACUGUCUUAGUUGAUCUUACCAUCAUGGAACAGUACACUAUAUGUGUGUGUGUGUGUAUAUAUAUAUAUGUAUAUAUAUAUAUAUAUAUAUAUAUAUAUAUAUAUAUAUAUAUAUAUAUAUAUAUAUGUAUAUAAGAGAGAGAGGGGGAGUGAUAUAUAUAUAUAUAUGUGCGUGUGUGUGCGUAUGUAUGUAUAUAUACGCAUACAUAAAUACAUGUGUAUGUGUAUGUUUGCGUACCUGUGUGUGUGCGUGCGUGCAUGCGCGCAUGUGUGUGUAUACGCACAUCUUUGUGUUCGAAUCACACUGCUUGAUCAGCGAUGUUAGUAUGUUUACGUCCACGUGCCAUAGCGUUUCAACAAAAAGAAACAGAUUUAAAGAAAUUAGUACCGGAGUUGAUUUAACAUACCAAGCUUUUGCAGGGGUGUACUCCAGCAUGGCCGCAGUUGAAUGGGUGAAGCAUGGAAAAGAGUAACAAAUAAAAGAGAACCGUUAAAAGGAAUUUGGAUGUAGUCCUUUCUUGCAUCUUGUAUCAACCAAACUGUGUGUGCAGUGACGGACUGGGUCUAAAAAUACUGGUUGCCAGGAGACUAAGGGGGUCCACCCGCAACUACAAGGAGGACCACCCUCAACUACAAUGCUAUCAUUUAAUGUUUUUUUUUUUUUUUGUUGAAAGUAUUCUUUUCAACUGUCUACAAACGCAGCCAGGCUGAAAUAAUGCAUUUUUCCAGGAAUGAAUUUAAAAGUUCUCAAAUUUUAGGGUAUGGGGUCCCUCAGAUAUUAACAUUCCCCCCCCCCCCAUAUAUGGAUUCUAAUGGCGCAGGGGCCCACUUGCCAUCGGGCAAGCUGGCAACCUGGCCAGUCCGCCACUAUGUGUGUGUGUGUGUGUGGUCAAAGAAAACAAUGUUGGUUAUACGUUAAUGACCGAAUAUAGUAAAAAAAAAUAGUCCCGCUAUCUUUUGAACAGCACCAAUCAAAAGAUAGUUUUAAAUAAUUCACUCGAGUUUUUCCGUCAAAGUUAUUAGUAUAGUUUUCAUUUUCAUUUUCUAAGAUAUGAAAAUAUUUGUACCCAGUAGAAAUUUAAUCAAUAUUUAUUGCCAGUUUUUAAGUUCAAAUCUCACCAACAACUUUAUUCUUCAUUCAACAGUCUUAAAGGACAGUUAAAAAUAACUAUCAGUAACAUGGUGCUUUAAUUCAAUAUAUUUUAUACUCUAUCGAACAAACUGGGCUUCCUAUAUCCUUUUCUACUCUAGGUACAAGGCCCAAAAUUUGGAGGGAGGGUCCAGUCGAUUAGAUUGACCGCAGUACACAACUGGUACAUAAUCUAUCGACCCCGAAAGGAUGUAAAUUUCUCGGUAACACACAGAAGCAUUUAUUAUGGUAGUAGACAUUUUUGCACGUCGUUCAAAAUUUGUACUUUGUGCUUGAAAAAUAAAACUCGUAAACCAGGGAUCUCGUAAUGCGGGACCUCGUAAACUGAAGUAUGUCGCUUCUAUUUUUUAAUUAUUAUAAAUCUUCCAUUGAGGAGGGAGCCAGUUUCCAACAAAGAUAUAAGGCUCUAUCUUUGGGAUAGAGCCUUGUAUUUUGGGGAUGAUCCUCGUAGGGUGAGUUAUGUAUGUAUGUAUGUAUGUAUGUAUGUAUGUAUGUAUGUAUGUAUAAUACGGACUUCUACAGUUUCUGUCCUCCAAAUCCAAGGCAUUGGCUCACCUAACGCAGAAGACACUUGCCCAAGGAUGGAACCCAAAACCUCGUAGUUUCAAAGCGAACUUCUUAACCACAGAUCCAUGCCUACGCCUGUAUAGUUAAUAGAAAUAAUUUUUCGUCCAAUCGUUUAAAUGUGUAUCUCUGGUUACAAAUUAAUCAUUUAAAAGUCUCAAUAAGUUCGGAUUUUAAAACAUACGACACCAGAAUCUUUGCCUCUCUAUCUCUAUGUCUCUCUCUUUUCUCUCUCUUUCUUUCUCUCUCUCUCGCUCUUCUCUCUCUCUCAUUUUCUCUCUCUCUCUCUCUCUCUUCUCUCUCUCUCUCUUGCUCUUCUCUCUCUCCCUUUCUUUAUAUUUCCCUUUCUCUUUUUGUCACUCUUUCAAGGCCUUUUGAAGUUCAGAUAAACAGAGAGAGAGAGAGAGAAACAGAGAGAGAAACAGACACACAGACAGAUAGAUAGACAGAGAAAGACAGAGAGUAUACAUAACUAACUUGCUUGAUAGAACGACCUAUCUAUCUAUCUAUCUAUCUAUCUAUCUAUCUAUCUAUCUAUCUAUCUAUCUAUCUAUGUAUCUAUCUAUCUAUCUAUCUAUCUAUCUAUCUAUCUAUCUAUCUAUCUAUCCAUUUAUCUAUCUAUUUAUCUGGGCCUGUUUUAUGAGCCAAUAUGCGGGAGUGGGGUGCAAAGUUAAGGGUCGACCCGGGCGGCACCUCUAACUACGCCACUGACAAUAUGGGACAAUGUGUAGAAAAGCUGAUUUUUAGAAUUUAUGAGUGUGUACCAUCAGACGGGCUUCCGCACAGUUAUCAUCUCUCUGAUUACUCACACUAAGAUAGCUUCAAUAAAAGCUAUGGUUGAAAAAAAAAAGUAAAAUUAUUUCUUGUCCAAUACGGAACGAAUUUACUUACCCCACCACCACCACACAUACACAAACAUACACACACACAAACAUGUAUUUCAGUAGGUGACAAGUUCAAAAGAAACUGAUUUGGUGGUCUUAGAAGAUUUCAAAGCAAAGAUAAGGAUUAAGAAUGAAUAAAAUAUUUAAUCCAUAAUCGCCAGACAAAAUAUGUCCUACUUCGUGUAUGGCUCUUCGGGAACCAUAAGUAUAAGAGUAGAGCUAUAGGCAAAGCACAAUAUAUUUUGGCGGACUAAUGAUCAUAUUGUGUGUGUGUGCGUGUGUGUUGACAUGUAUGUAUGCAUCUGUGUAUAUAUAUACACACAAAUACAUACAUACAUACAUUUUUGCUCUCUUUUCUUACUUCCAAAUUCCUUCCGUUCGUUCUUUCUUUUUCCUUAUUUCCGCCCCCUGUUUUUGUGUUCUGUUUUUAUCGCGCCAUGUCCUCCACUCUUUCUCUCUCUUCCUGUUUCACGAAGUAUCUCUCAAUCUAUCUGACUGUCAGUAUUUUCACGGUCUUUCACCUGUCCUUGCUUCGUCUUCUCAAUUUACCUAUCGCCCUGCCACCAUAUUUCUCCUAAUCAAUGUUCGUAAUGAAUAAGCAAGCAUAAAAGGUCAUACGUUGUUAGAAGGGUCAACAGGUAAUCAGGGAUAUUGACAUUUAUGUAUUUUCGCAAGACUUCCCCUAGCAACUUAAUAUCAUUUAGUGAUGUACUAUUAAUUCAGAAAAAUACUUGAAACAAGUCUUGCAUAGCUUGAACGGUCUUACAUUGGAAAAUAAUAAAACGUAUGCGAAGUGGAUAUAGGGUGUGAGGUCGACUCCCAUAUGCUACUAAAAUCAGAAGGAUUAAACUAAAUAUUGUAAUGCAAUAAACAGUUUGUUGUCAUGAUUCUCUUAUGAUUUUUACAAUAGUGUAUGGCAUUUAAAUGUGUUAAACAUGAAAGGUAAGCAACGAUAUUUCAUAUUAACGAAUGGAGGUUUUCAAAGCGAGGACGAUGUCUAUCUUGAUAUAUACAUAUAUGUAUAUGUGUGUGUGUGGGGGGGGGAUGUACAUGUAUAUAUAUAUGUGUGUGUGUGUGUGUGUGUGUCUGUGUGUGUGUGUAUGCAUGUAUACACACACAUAUAUGUAUAUAUACACAAACACACGUAUGUUUCACACCUACGUGAGUUUCUCAAGCAUACUUCCCGAACACUUGGCGAAUUAUUUCAGGACUCUUUGAUGAACUAACAUAAAAGAACAACACAUACACACACGCACACACACACACACACACACACACACACACACACACACACACAUGCACACACGCGCGCACGCACACGACCCCUACCCACAUGCACACGCCUCCUCCCACCAUCACACACACACAUUCAUAAAAUAUAAAAUAAACACCCUACGAUAGUCCAAGUGUUUCAAUGCCAAAGGCUUUUUUCAAAGCCUUUUUAAAGAAAUGUUUUGGUGUUGAAACAUCUACGCAAUUAUAAAACAUUUAUUUCUAUAAAAAAUACACUCUCUAUUCUUCCUGUUAUCGUGUUUCUUUGUUUUUAGUUACAGUCUUAAGCUUCGGAUUUGACCCACAAAAAGCUUAGAUAAGAAUCAAAAGAUCCAGAAAGUAAUUAAACAGCAAAACAAGCGAGCAAUUAUUCUAUCUUUCUAUGAUUGUAAAACACUAAGUUCAUGACAAAACCGGCUGUAUGGUAUCAUAGCUGCAAUAUUCAUGACCAUCGCAAAGUUAAAUGUUUUUAAUAUUCCCAGUCUACCAAAGGCUAAAUACAGCUCUAAUACGUUAAGGCUUUAGCGUUUAAAAUGGCUGUAUCCAGCCCAUAUAUUCUACAUAUGUUAUGUUCAAGCCGACCAGAUUUGGUCUUUCAUUCUAAAAAUAUACCAUCACAUUAUCAAAAUGACGGAGUUAUGAGAUAAUGUGUGAUUAAUUCAAGAUAAAAUAAUAAAAUAAGCAUUAUAUUGGACAAAGUAAUCUGAAUGCUAAAAAAUUAAAGUAACGCAUGCUUUACGAUGUGGCAUCCCACAAAGCCAAAAUAAUACAAAGGCUGAAUACGAAUGGAAAAUGGCUCUUGAACAAAAAAUAUAUUAAAGAAAAAACGUAGACAAUGCUUUAUUGCACAGCAUGUAACAACUGGGUGCAGCACUUUGAUUACAUUAUAUAUUACACAUUACAUGAUACAAUAUUCAUUAUACAUUAUUUAUGAUUGUAAGAAACUGAGUUGAGUUUAAAUCAUAAUGACGUUUUUCGGAAAUUAAUUUUGCAACUCCUUAUUCCAGAUGCAGUUAUUAGCUGUCUUUCUGUGAAAAUUAU
rnacentral:lncRNA from 1 species